rnacentral:tmRNA from 1 species
GGGGGUGAUUGGCUUCGACUUCGGUCGUCGAGACGGGAGAAGCGAGCCGUGGUCUCCGGAGUCCACGUAAAUAAGCCGGAAACCAAACAAACGCCGAGCCUCAGCUCGAGCUCGCUGCUUAAAAAGUAGCGACGUCCUACCGGUCUCAGCCCUGCGGGCCGGAUCCGGGCGUCAUCUAGCGGGGCUUUACCCAGCUGGUAGUGCCGACGGACCAGCCGGGGACACAUUUGUCGGCUGGGGCCUCGCACCGGUGCCGGUGGCGACGCGAGGCCCGAGACUCUCCCACCGGCUGCGCUCGGAGAAGGCCCGUUGAGAAGCCGAAGGACGCGGGUUCGAUUCCCGCCACCUCCACGA